rnacentral:misc_RNA from 1 species
AUUGCUUAGUUCAUGAGAUGGGUAACCAUGGAAAGAGUAGCAUGUGGGGCAAUGCAGGCUAUCUAGUACCUGCAUAAAUUUUCUUAGAAAAGAUGGAGACAUUAGACCGUCAUUAAAAGGAGAUGUUUCCAGAAAUCUAGAGGAAACGUGGAGGUCUUUUUGAGAUUUUUUUUUUCCUUCCCCUUUCUUCAAGCCAUGAAGCAAUAUCAUCUCCAUCUUCGAAU